rnacentral:tRNA from 1 species
UUCGGGUUCUUCUAAUGGCAGGAUAUGUGUUUCUGAAACACGAGAUGGUGGUUCAAGUCCAUCACCCGAAGCCA